rnacentral:lncRNA from 1 species
GUGCCCAGUCAGCGAGGUAGGUCGGGAAGGCAGCCGGCGGCCCCAGAUCUAGAACCGCUGCAGUGCCGAGCUUCCAGGGACGUGAAGCCGGAAAGCCAGGCGCCCUUCUUGACUGCGCCUAGGUGGAACUGGCCCUCCAGCAGCUUGAACGUAGCCUCUUUUCACACUGGUAGUUCCUGAACCUCUUGUGAAAUGAAAGAUGUUCCUCAUUCCAAGCUGAGGACGGAGAAAAGCCGUAAAGCUGACACUGGAGCUAGAAUGACUUGUCAGCCACCUUUGAGCAAGAACUUGCCUGGAGUCCAAAUGUAUGGCUAUUGAAGGAUAGUAAGCAGACAGCACUAAAAGUCAUCCAUUCGUUAUGGAUUUAGUCUUAAGACCCUCAUUUGAGAGAUGCCUUCCCUGUACCUGGAGGAAAGAAACAUCUUUAUCUCUGAAGACACAGGGCCACAGAGAAGAGUCUGAACAAACAGGCUUUAC